CAUACUUUCAAAAUUCUGGAAAUUACAGAAAAGUAUAAAGGAGGUAUUAAGAAUUAAUAAUUCUACCAACCAGCAACAAGGUCUUUUGAAGACAUACCAAAAAAAUCAAUUACCACUAGACUCCAACUACAAGAAAUAUUCAAGAAAGCUUUUUAAGCUGAAGAAAAAUAAUACUAAAUAGAAACAUGGAGCUACACAAAGGAAUGAAGAGGACCAGAAAUGGAGGCUACAUUGACAAGCAUACUUUCUCUUAUCAUUUAAGUAUCUUUAAAAGAUGGUCAAUUGUGUAAAGCAAAAAUGAUAGGAAUGUACUCUGGGGCUUAUAAAAUAUUUAGAAGUAAAAUGUAUGACAUAAUAGCAUAAAGGCCAAAUGAA
rnacentral:lncRNA from 1 species